UCUCUUCCCAUAUAAGCCAAACACAUAUAUAAUAUUGAUGCCAUUUGGAUAUAGCGAUAAAUAGUCUGCGUAAUAAGCUUGUUGGACCCGGGGGCGGUACCCGGCGCCUCCACCAUAACAAUAAGGGGGCGAAAUAGGAUAGACAAGGGUGUAAAGGUUGAAAGUUCGCUCGGCAUUGUACCACCGUUAUCGGACUAAAAAUGUAGUUGCAAAUGACAACUUCGCUGGAGAAACUCGCCUGGCCGCUUAGGCAAUGCGAUUUCUCACUUUAAGCCCUGAUGGGUUGCACCAUCAGGCGGGGUUUGGAGGCACCUGGCAACAGAAGCCUCCUUU
rfam:Candidatus Liberibacter solanacearum CLso-ZC1, complete genome.